AACGUAGGAGGCAAGCGUUAUCCGGAGUUACUGGGCGUAAAGAGUGCGUAGGCGGACCUGUAAGUGGGUGGUGAAAGCGCCCGGCUAAACCGGGCGAGGUUCAUUCAGACUGCAGGUCUAGAGGCGGAUAGAGGGGUGCGGAAUUCCGGGUGUAGCGGUGAAAUGUGUAGAGAUCCGGAGGAACACCAGUGGUGCAAACGGCGCCCUGGGUCCGAACUGACGCUGAGGCGCGAAAGCUAGGGGAGCAAACGGG
rnacentral:rRNA from 1 species